rnacentral:rRNA from 1 species
AGCGAACGCUGGCGGCAGGCUUAACACAUGCAAGUCGAGCGGGCAUCUUCGGAUGUCAGCGGCAGACGGGUGAGUAACACGGGGGAACGUACCCUUCGGUUCGGAACAACUCUGGGAAACUGGAGCUAAUACCGGAUACGCCCUUAUGGGGAAAGGUUUACUGCCGAAGGAUCGGCCCGCGUCUGAUUAGCUAGUUGGUGGGGUAACGGCCUACCAAGGCGACGAUCAGUAGCUGGUCUGAGAGGAUGAUCAGCCACACUGGGACUGAGACACGGCCCAGACUCCUACGGGAGGCAGCAGUGGGGAAUAUUGGACAAUGGGCGCAAGCCUGAUCCAGCCAUGCCGCGGGAGUGAUGAAGGCCUUAGGGUUGUAAAGCUCUUUUGUCCGGGACGAUAAUGACGGUACCGGAAGAAUAAGCCCCGGCUAACUUCGUG